rnacentral:misc_RNA from 1 species
UGGACGGAUACAUCACUACAGCGGACGCGGACAAAAAACACGAUGGAGCGCAUCCCUCUUGUCGUGCGCCGGAUGGUGGCGACAGAGCAAAACUGCGCCUUUGUCCACUUUUUCGCCUCCUUCGCCGAUGUGUCCGCAACACCGUUGGCCAUCGAGACGAAAGCCUUCCGCAGCGCUGCCGCCGGUGGUGCAGCGGACGACGCCGAACCGGCGUACCAGCUUGUCUACGACGUCAUGCGUUCACGAAAUGGCCAUAUAUUGUUCAAGAAAUCUUAUGCUGAGCGCUUCACGCACAGUCUUACCCUUGCCGCCCCGGCGCUCGCCCUCCCAGCCGAGCUGCAGUCUCUUGUUCAGUCGCGUCUGCAGGCGUACAUCGAGUCGCCGGGCGUUUACCUGGACGGCGUCACCGAAAAGAAUGUGAAGUUGCUGUCAUGGAUUCCGGCCACCGGUGCGUCCACCAAGCAAGCAGAGGCGUUCCCGAUACCCGUCAUUAUCAUGCUUGCCAAGUCGUCUUACCCUUCAGAGUCCAUGUACCGCGAAGGUGCCAAGCUCGGCUUACUGUUUAACGCGCACCGCAUCAAUCCCAAUGCGAAAGUGGCCCAGAUGGGGCUGCGCGAUCGCGCUAACGCCUACCUGACCGAGAAUGGUGUGUAUGAGGUGCUACUCGUGCACGACGCCGCCGACGCUUACCUCGUUCCCGAGGGUUCGCGGUCGAACUACCUUCUGCAGAAGUCGGACGGAACGUGGUGGUGCAGCGCCGAGGAGGACAUCCUCGUCGGGAUUACGCUCAAGACAACGUACCGGGUCGUGCAGGCGUGCGGCCUCGGCAGUGUGCAGCAUGCCAAGCUCACCCUAAAGGACAUUCUUGAAAGCAAGUUGCUCUUCAUCCUGGGCACAAGUCCGACGAUCAUGCCAGUUCAGUCGGUGCUGCUGUAUGGGGACUCGGAGACACGCAGGUUCUACGAGGAGGCAGUUCGGGCGCUCGGCGCGACCGCAGGAACGGUGCAGCAGGUGUCAGACGCCAAGGCAGAGCUUCUCUUCCCCGUGAAUGUGGAGCUGGCGGCCGCCCUGCGGACUCAGUACUUCGCGGAGGCCGCAUCCUCAUAGCGGCCCACGGUGCUUCCACCUCCUCCGCACCGGUCACAAUCGCCAUCAACUGCAGCUACGUCUUUUCACUCCUCCCUCCGUCCCCAG